rnacentral:rRNA from 1 species
AGAACGAACGCUGGCGGCAUGCCUAACACAUGCAAGUCGAACAAGACCUUCGGGUCUAGUGGCGCACGGGUGCGUAACGCGUGGGAAUCUGCCCUUGGGUUCGGAAUAACAGUUGGAAACGACUGCUAAUACCGGAUGAUGACGUAAGUCCAAAGAUUUAUCGCCCAGGGAUGAGCCCGCGUAGGAUUAGCUAGUUGGUGAGGUAAGUGGCUC